rnacentral:telomerase_RNA from 1 species
GGCAAUCGCAUCGCGUUGAGUGGAGAAAUAAAACUAUAACCUAACCUAAUCACACUUAAAGCCGGGUGCCCACGGUCGGUUUGUUGAAUCCGAGGGUAAUUUUUCAACGCGAUGAUUUUUUUUA